rnacentral:precursor_RNA from 10 species
GGUCGAGUAUUGUAACUGCUGGACGAGAAUCGAGGACCAUUGCUGUAUUCGCAUAACGUGUCUGGAAUGUCUGUGAACACAGCUGAUGGUAUCUCUUUUAUCGCUCUGGCGCUAAUCGUCUGCUCCGC